UCAUUAAAAAUUCAUAUUUGAAAUAGAAUUUGCCCUAGGACAUGUGACUGCUGACUUUUGAUUGAAUUAUAGGAAACUGGGAAAAUAGAAGCCAGUCAAGUUACAUUGGUACUUUGGAAAGAUAACAUGUUGCUUGAGUAGCCCUGAGACUCUCCACUGAGGUUAUAACAUUGGAAUAAGCAAGCUUCUGGACAGAUCUUUUGCAAAUUCUCCCAACUCUUGUUAACUAUCACAUUUAUCUAUGUGACAUUUGCCAUAUUAUGGCCUCUAAAAGAAAAUAGCCAGAAGCAACUUACUUCAAAUGCAAUCGCAAACAGGUUUUUUUCUUUUUUUGGGGGGUAGAUAUGUUAACCAUACUUCUUCUUCCUGACAUUGCUAAUGAAGCAUAUGAGUAAAUACAUAGCACCGUAUUUGCCCAGGAAGUUAUUUGUUCAAUGGACAAAGAAAUAAGUGAAAUAUCAAAGAUCCGGGUGUGCCAAGGUGUGUGGUAGAUUUGCUAAAUGAAGUAGUAGAUCUUUAAGAGAACUUUCAGGAGAGUUCCCAUUGUGGUUCAGUGGUAAUGAACCUGACCAGGAUCCAUGAGGAGGCAGGUUCAAACUCUGGCCUUGCUCAGUGGGUUAAGGAUCCGGCGUUGCCAUGAACUCUGGUGUAGGUCCUGGACGUGGCUCAGAUCUGGCAUUGCUGUGGCUGUGGCUGUGGCAUGGGCCAGCAGCUGCAGCUCCUAUUCAACCCCUAGCCUGGGAACUUCCAUAUGCCUCGAGUGUGGCCCUAAAAAGCAAAAAAAAAAAAAAAAAAAAAGGAAUUAAGCAGAAUUAAGCAGGUGUUUCUAGCUCCCGAGAAUGCGGACCUUACAGCAAACCCACCAUCAGAACCAUAAGAUAAAAGAGUUUUAACCAAGAGUCAGGAGUGAGCUGAUGGAGAAAGGGCUUUGCAGAGAAAAGCCAGCGAGGACAUCCUUCAAGGACACCUUGGUGCUGAUGCUGCCCCUCCCUCUCUAUGAGAGCAUGGCCUUGCUGGGGUUGAAUCAGGCUAGAGACCCAGAGAUGUCCCAGAUGUUACUGGGCAUAGAUCAUUGGCAUAGCUUCCUCCCAUAUGGUGCUACAAGUCCCUAGCAAAGAAGGCAGAGUGGUCAAAAGAAAUUGAGGUCUUCAUUUUGUAAGAUCCUGCUUUGCAAAGAAUGUGUCAUUCCUCACCUCUGUUCACCCACUAGUAGUGAGUACAGGGCUAGUGAGACCUGGCUGAGGUAGGGCCUCUGCUUCUGCUUGGGGCCCAUCGUGUCUCCCAAGGCCCAGUGCUUGGGCACGUCAUCUAACCUCACAGAGGGUCUGGUCAUGGCCUCUUCCUGUCACACUUCAGCCCACCUGAAGUGAUGCUGGAGCAGUGCAGGCCACUUCUGCUGGAGAUCUGCUAGAUAUCUGGUGGGGGAAAGAGGCAUGAAAGUAGAUUUCAUAAGUCAGACUUCAACAUGUUAGAAACUAACAUGGUGUCUAAAUGCCUGUUCCCAGCAAUCUGGGUCAACAGGAGAGAUUUGCGCUGCAUCAAUUAGCAGCUCAUGUGAUUGAGGUCAUAGUCUUCCCUCCCGUGUUGUGCUGUUCGCCUUCCUCCCGCCCUCCAGAUCGCUGUGAAUCCACAGUCAGGUUUACUUUCUCUGUUUUAGAUCAAAGCAUCAUAUAUUCUGAAUGUAUCUGACAACAGUUACUUUUGCAGUAGAUUUGGUCUCAUCCUGUUUUUAUAGCCAAAAUGGCUUAUUUCUUGAUCGUGUGAAUUCUUAGCAGGAAGUAAGUCUUGUAAGUCGCUGUGUUAAGUCAGAACUAGAAAAAAAAAAAAAUUCAGCUCAACCCAGCAAAAUCCCUACUCCUGAUUGUUAAUGUUAUCCAGAUCUCCUCCGCCGCGUAGAAUGAGGACUAUCUAAAACAUGUUUUGUGCCAGACAGGAAGAGUAGGUUUUAAAAAUUGGUAUUAUCAAUUUGACUCUAACAAGACAACAUUCAGAUUGGUGGAUAACUGAGGAAGGAAAAUAUUUCAUAAAAUGAAACUUCUCUACCCUCAUUUAUUCUAAAAUUUUAGCGGAAAUGAAUCCGACUAGGAGCCAUGCAGUGGCGAGUUUGAUCCCUGGCCUCACUCAGUGGGUUAAGGAUCCAGUGGUGUUGCCAUGACCUGUGGUGUAGGUCGCAGACGCGGCUGGGAUCUGGUGUUGCUGUGGCUGUGGCGUAGGCUGGUGGCUAUAACUCUGAUUGGACCCCUGGCCUGGGAACCUCCAUAUGCGUGGGUGUGGCCCUAAAAAGACAAAAAGAAAAUUAUAACAAAAGGUGGCUUUUGGGUUUCCAUCUCUAAUAUACUACCUUUGCUGUUUAAAUGAAGUUGGACCAACUUUAUUUUGUGAAUGGCUGAAGAGUCUUGGGUACCAUGUUGAGUGUUCUUUUUUUCCCCCUCAAAUUUUGAAAAAGGGACAGCAAGCUCCAGUGUCUACACUUUGCAGUCAACAUUGGUGGAAUACAGGCAUUUGUAUGUGGGGUUUGCACAUCUCUCCCCCAAAACAUGGUCACUGGUCAUUCCUUGGGAAGGCCAUAGUCCCCGUGUCCCAUCCACCCAUAUCCUGCCAUUAUUCCAUCCUGUUCCCAUAAAGGCUACACUAGCCGCGGUAGCUACUCUUCUAGAAUCCAGUAUCUGACUAUUCCCUGGAACAAGUCACAGGGAAUUAUACAUCUUUUCUGGAAUUGUACUUUCUUUUUCUUCUUACAAUAAGGGGUUGUCCCAAAUAAGCACUAAUAUCAUUUGCAGAUCUAUUGUGAUAUGGUUCUGUAUUAAAUUAACUGUAUUGCAUUCAGGAAGUCAAGUUCAUGGUUUUUUCACUUCCUCUGAAUCAGUGAGAUUCACUCUAUUUCCUAGUGACAGAUCUUACCCUUCAUCUCUCAUUUGUCCCACAAAUGUUCACAAAAAGAGGAUGCUAGAUAACGGUGGUAGAUGGAGCCAUAUUCUCUGCCAUAGGAGAAACAUGACACAGAUGACGUGAUACUUUCACUAGCAACACCUUCCUAAACCUGAGAAGCUUUGUUCAUUUUCCCCCAUUGUUGUUCCUUUGGAUGUUUAUAGGGUGUCACCAUGUAUAUCCGCACACAUACAUCUAUUCUUGGAUGCAGGGGAUAGAACCAGUAUCCCCAAGCCACAUGAAGUGGGAGACCAUGAAGCCUGGUCCAGCAGCUGGGGAGAUGAGAUAAGGAAUAACAAUAUGGGUCUUCCAGAAGUUGUCAACAUUUUGUCUGGAGGAGCCUGUCUUAGUGGGAGAAGGAGAAAUAAGCCUUUAUUCAUGAAAACCCAGAAUGCCCCGUCCUGCCAUUUCAUGGCAAUUCCUAAGUAAUAAUCCUUUCUUUAAGGAGCAGGAAAAAGAGGUUUGGCUUCUAGGCUAAAAGGGAACCAUUCAAGAUCGGACCAGGGCAGAAAUGGAGCUGUUUCAAGACGACCUUUGCACCCCUUCAUCCGUGUGCCCAAUCUGAUUGUUAUAAGCAAUAGCUACGUUGAUGCAUUUUAAGGUCUCUUGGACCACACAUCCUCUGGACAAAUUAUGCCCAUUCAGUGCACAAUUUUGUUGGUAGUCUAUGCGGUGUGGAGGGAAUAAAACUUCUAAUGUCCAUGAGGUAAUGCUAUGCUUCCCAUGGCACAAUAAGACUCUGAGCUGUUUGAGUGAGUUGGUGAUGAGGAACGAAUCAUUAAAUAUAUACAGAAACCCCCCAAAAUAAUUUUUAGGCAUGAAUAAAGAAGAUGUGGUACAUAAAUACAAUGGAAAUACUCUCAGCUAGAAAAAAGAAUGAAAUAAUGCCAUUUGUAGCAACAUGGAUGGACCUAGAGAUUGUCAACUAAGUGAAGUAAGUCAAGAAAAAUAUCAUACAGUAUCACUUCUAUGUGGAAUCUAAUAAAAAUGCUGCAAAAGAACUUGUUUAUAAAACAGAAACAAACACAGAUUUCAAAAUCAAAUUUAUGGCUACCAAAGCGGAAACCAUGAGGGGGAUUAUUAGGAUGCUGGGAUUAACAUAGAUACACAACUAUAUAUAAAAUGGAUAACUGAAAAGAAUCUGCUGUAUAGCACAGGGAAAUCUACUCAAUUUUCUGUAUAACCUAUAUGGGAAAGUCUGAACAAGAAUGAAUAUGUGUAUAUGUAUAACUGAUUCACUUUGCUGUACACCUGAAACUAAUACAAUAUUCUAAGUCAGCUAUACUCCAAAAAAGAUUUUUUUAAAGAUUUUUGUAUUUUUUUCUAAACAACUCUCCUACAAAUAAGU
rnacentral:lncRNA from 1 species